rnacentral:misc_RNA from 1 species
AAAAAAUAAGGAAAAUUAAGUCGUUAUUGAAUUUGCUAGCACUAAUAAAUAAACAAAAUUAACAACUUAACUGCAUUUAUCACUAUUCGUCAUUAUGCUAAUAUACUAUAAGAAAAAGCGCUUUCAUUAUUCCUAAAAAUAGUGAAAAUACCAUUUCAGUCAUUUUUUCUAUUUAUCUUCUUUUUUACCAUAAAUCAAAAUGAACCAAAGCUAAAAUGUGUAUAGUUUCCCAAUGGGAAAGUGUGAUAUAAUAUAGUAUGAGAUGGAUGAUAUCCUUGAUAACGCUUCUUAGUUUUUCUCUUUUAAUUUCUCUUAAUUGAUUGAUCUUAGGCAUUUCACAUGAUAUAGCUUAACGUAGCUAAAAAAUAAAAAUAAUGUAAAAUAAUUAUUUUUUUGCUAAUGUUUAUUUAUUAUUUUUUAAGGUUUGGGAUGUCCAAGACUUUUUUUCUCCUUGAAAAAGAUGGGAUAACUUUUUUAUAUUAAUGUAUGAGUUAAUACUUCAAAAUGUCAAUGUAAAAUUAAAAAAAUGUUAUAUUAUAGUACGUAAUUUUG